rnacentral:SRP_RNA from 1 species
GCCGGGCGUGGUGGCGCGCGCCUGUAGUCCCAGCUACUCGGGAGGCUGAGGCAGGAGGAUCGCUUGAGCCCAGGAGUUCUGGGCUGUAGUGCGCUAUGCCGAUCGGGUGUCCGCACUAAGUUCGGCAUCAAUAUGGUGACCUCCCGGGAGCGGGGGACCACCAGGUUGCCUAAGGAGGGGUGAACCGGCCCAGGUCGGAAACGGAGCAGGUCAAAACUCCCGUGCUGAUCAGUAGUGGGAUCGCGCCUGUGAAUAGCCACUGCACUCCAGCCUGGGCAACAUAGCGAGACCCUGUCUCUU